ACCAAAAAGAUUGAUGCAAUCGAAGGAGAAGUAGAUCAAGUUAAAGAAAUUGUGGUUCAGAUAUUAGACAACUUGACAGUCCUAGAACAAACCGUUCGGAUGGUUUCGUCCAACAAAGUUUCUGAAUCACUACGAGAAGAUAUCAUCAUAAUCGCGGGGUGUGACAAUGAAUUAAUUAAUGAAAAAAACUCUGUGGAAAGAUUUUCAUGGAAGAACAAUGUUUGGGUAAGGAUUGCACCCCUAAACAUUGCUCGUAAGUAUGCUACUUCGUUUCUAUUUGGCGAUGAGUUGUAUGUUGUUGGUGGAAGAGAUAGCAGGGCAAUGGAGGCCUUAAAUUUAAAUAAAGCACUUGGAAAAUGGACUUUACUCGACGCUGAAUUGCCUGCUUACUAUGAAGGCCACCGCACAUUAGUUUACCAGAAUCGUUUGAUUUUAAUUGGAGGGUCUGAAAUGCCAUAUUUCAUUUACAUCAAUCGCAUCUCAGAAAUUCUUCUUACUCCGCCUUACACUAGCAAAGUGUUGUAUCACAUGCCUCAGCCAAGAAAAUAUUUCGGCGCGGAGUUAUUCAACGACAGAGUCUUGAUUUUUGGAGGAAGGACUCGUGAUGAUUACAGUAGUUCGCUACAUAGUGUCUUACAGUUUGAUUUGAGUACGAACGAAUGCAGAAAUCUGUCUCGGUUACCGCAUGCCAUAUCAGGAUUGGCGACGGUUCGCUGGGGAAAUAAGGUCGUUCUAAUUGGUGGUCGUGACAAUGAAGCCAAAAUUCUCAAUCAAGUUCUCAUGUAUGAUUCUACAACUGGGAAAAUCGAUGUUUUGCCAUCAAUGCUAGAAGCACGAGUUUCACCCUGUGCAGUUAUCACUGGAAAUAUGAUUGUCGUGAUGGGUGGAGCAAAUAAGGAACAUGAAGAUCUUACCUCUGUAGAAGGUUUUGUUCUUGGUGGUUAUUCAUGGGAAUAUCUUCCUAGUCUGAAUGGGGGCAGAAGAGGUGCCACUGCAGAACUUGUUCCAGCCAAGUUCAACACAAGUUGGCCGUGAUGAGUGUCAGGUAACCGUCGGCACAGAACGUUGAAACCUUUUUUCAAACUUAUAACUCUGAAAAGCUUGAAGCAAGAAGGGAAACACCAGGGAUGCCGGAACUGCGGGAGGGGACAGGAGGGGCAGCUGCCCAUCUUGCCCUUUACCAGGAGGGGCAAGGGAGGGCGAAGGUGGCCUUUUGAUUAAAAGAAAAUAUUUGUUAUUAAUAGAAAGAAUUCGUUCUUGUUAUUAUAUGAACUAUAUAUGAUAUAACAAACUUUUGCU
rnacentral:lncRNA from 1 species